rnacentral:rRNA from 1 species
UACGUAGGGGGCAAGCGUUGUCCGGAUUCAUUGGGCGUAAAGGGCGCGUAGGCGGCCUGGCAAGUGGAAGGUGAAAUCCCUCGGCUUAACCGAGGAACUGCCCUCCAAACUGCUUGGCUUGAGUCCGGGAGAGGUGAGUGGAAUUCCUGGUGUAGCGGUGAAAUGCGCAGAUAUCAGGAAGAACACCCGUGGCGAAAGCGGCUCUCUGGAACGGUACUGACGCUGAGACGCGAAAGCGUGGGGAGCGAACAGG